UGGCCUGUAGUUCAAUUGGCGGAACGUCUGAUUCUGAUUCAGAAGGUUGAAGGUUCAAGUCCUUCCAGGCCAG
rnacentral:tRNA from 1 species